rnacentral:rRNA from 1 species
AGUACGUUCGACGUCGUCGGCUACGAGGACACGCUGGCGGCGUGCCUAAUACAUGCAAGUCGAGCGGACAGAAGGGAGCUUGCUCCCGGACGUUAGCGGCGGACGGGUGAGUAACACGUGGGCAACCUGCCCCUUAGACUGGGAUAACUCCGGGAAACCGGAGCUAAUACCGGAUAAUCCCGUUUCUCCACCUGGAGAGAGGGUGAAAGAUGGCUUCGGCUAUCACUAGGGGAUGGGACCCGCGGCGCAUUAGCUAGUUGGUAAGGUAACGGCUUACCAAGGCGACGAUGCGUAGCCGACCUGAGAGGGUGAUCGGCCACACUGGGACUGAGACACGGCCCAGACUCCUACGGGAGCAGCAGUAGGGAAUCUUCCGCAAUGGACGAAAGUCUGACGGAGCAACGCCGCGUGAGUGAGGAAGGCCUUCGGGUCGUAAAGCCCUGUUGUGAGGGAAGAAGCGGUACCGUUCGAAUAGGGCGGUACCUUGACGGUACCUCACCAGAAAGCCACGGCUAACUACGUG